GCUUUAGUUGUUUGACGGGUGCGCGCGGUUUGUGUGUGUGCCAUGCUGUGUUCUACAAUGCUUCGUUACCACGUUUAUCGAUUAUGCACGUUGGUUACGUGAUUCAAUAUCAAGUGUACCUUCCAAGACGAUCUAGGUCCUAGUCUCGUGACUGACGGCGAGUGCGGACGUACAGCAGCCUUUUGACAAGACUGUCGCCGAGUGUACGGUACAUUGUGGACUGUAAAGCUGAAGAGUGCGCAGUGGAUGCCUGAUUUUGGAACCGAGUGUGAUCGUCUGGGCGGUGUGUUCACUCUGCGGGGAUGAUGGCCAGAGGAAGGAUGAUAGACAGACGACAGCUUGCAGAAGAAGAUGGGAGCGUUCUACCUGUGAGCCUGGUCGAGUUUAUAUUUUAUGGAUACACAUGCAUGGAUACACAUACAUGGAUUCCCUACAAGGACCCUGCGCAUCAAAAGCAAUCUGUCAUCAAUGUUAAGUAGACAGAUUAAACGAAACGAAGAUAUGACAGGUGUACACCAUAUUUUUCUUUCAUUUAACCUCUGCAUGUU